AAAGCCAACGAAGUUGAUGACAAGUAUGUAACAUGGAGUUGUUUCUUUCCUUUUAUUUCAUGAACCAAUCUUUUUUGUUUUAUAUUUUCUUA
rnacentral:ribozyme from 1 species